rnacentral:lncRNA from 1 species
UAAAUUGGCAUUUGAGCAUUUGGGAGCUUUCUUCCUCUCACUCUCUCGUUUGUCUGCCCUAGCUUGAGGCUUGCAUAAUGGGAAAAUGAAGCUUUCAACAUUGCCCCCUCCAAAGGUAGCAGCUGCCAAUGAAACUCUGCGUUUCAUUAAUCCCAAAACGAUGCAGUUGUAGUAAUUCAGCAAGCCCAAAACGCAGCAGCCUAAUGUCCAGCGUAACGAUGCAGCACAACAGCGUUUCAGCUUAAUUCUAGCAAGCGUCUACUCCAAUUGCAACGACCCAAUUAGCAAAGUGUGGCAACAACACAUCAGCCCCUUCUUUCCAGGUCCAGGCCCAAACAAGUUGCGGCCC